rnacentral:rRNA from 1 species
GAUGAACGCUGGCGGCGUGCCUAAUACAUGCAAGUCGAGCGAACAGACGAGGAGCUUGCUCCUUUGACGUUAGCGGCGGACGGGUGAGUAACACGUAGAUAACCUACCUAUAAGACUGGGAUAACUUCGGGAAACCGGAGCUAAUACCGGAUAAUAUAUCGAACCGCAUGGUUCCAUAGUGAAAGACGGUUUUGCUUUCACUUAUAGAUGGACCAGCGCCGUAUUAGCUAGUUGGUAAGGUAACGGCUUACCAACGCAACGAUGCGUAGCCGACCUGAGAGGGUGAUCGGCCACACUGGAACUGAGACACGGUCCAGACUCCUACGGGAGGCAGCAGUAGGGACUCUUCCGCAAUGGGCGAAAGCCUGACGGAGCAACGCCGCGUGAGUGAUGAAGGUCCUCGGAUCGUAAAACUCUGUUAUUAGGAAAGAACAAAAGCGUAAGUAACUGUGCACGUCUUGACGGUACCUAAUCAGAAAGCCACGGCUAACUACGUG